rnacentral:rRNA from 1 species
AUUCCAGCUCCAAUAGCGUAUACUAAAGUUGUUGCAGUUAAAAAGCUCGUAGUUGAAUUUCUGGAUGCGAAAGAUGGUCGGCACCUCACGGUGUCUGUACUUUUCAUUCGCGUCCAUCCUCGGGAGGAACGUGUGGGGCUUUAAGUAGUUCUGCUCGGGAAUCUCGUCAUUUACUGUGAGCAAAAUAGAGUGUUCAAAGCAGGCUUAUGCCGUUGAAUAUAUUAGCAUGGAAUAAUAAGAUACGACUUUGGUCUAUUUUGUUGGUUUGCAUUCCAAAGUAAUGAUUAAUAGGGAUAGUUGGGGGUAUUCGUAUUCAAUUGUCAGAGGUGAAAUUCUUGGAUUUAUGGAAGACGAACUACUGCGAAAGCAUUUACCAAGGAUGUUUUCAUCA